UACAGAGGGGGCAAGCGUUGUUCGGAAUUACUGGGCGUAAAGGGCGCGUAGGCGGCCUUCUAAGUCGAACGUGAAAUCCCUGGGCUCAACCCAGGAACUGCGUCCGAUACUGGAAGGCUUGAAUCCGGGAGAGGGAUGCGGAAUUCCCGGUGUAGUGGUGAAAUGCGUAGAGAUCGGGAGGAACACCUGUGGCGAAGGCGGCCGACUGGGCCGACCCUGACGCUGAGGCGCGAAGGCGUGGGGAGCGAACGGG
rnacentral:rRNA from 1 species